rnacentral:rRNA from 1 species
GACGAACGCUGGCGGCGUGCUUAACACAUGCAAGUCGAACGGUAAGGCCCUUCGGGGUACACGAGUGGCGAACGGGUGAGUAACACGUGGGUGAUCUGCCCUGCACUUCGGGAUAAGCCUGGGAAACUGGGUCUAAUACCGGAUAGGACCCUGGGAUGCAUGUCCUGGGGUGGAAAGCUUUUGCGGUGUGGGAUGGGCCCGCGGCCUAUCAGCUUGUUGGUGGGGUGAUGGCCUACCAAGGCGACGACGGGUAGCCGGCCUGAGAGGGUGACCGGCCACACUGGGACUGAGAUACGGCCCAGACUCCUACGGGGGGCAGCAGUGGGGAAUAUUGCACAGUGGGCGCAAGCCUGAUGCAGCGACGCCGCGUGAGGGAUGACGGCCUUCGGGUUGUAAACCUCUUUCAGCACCGACGAAGCGCAAGUGACGGUAGGUGCAGAAGAAGGACCGGCCAACUACGUGCCAGCCGCCGCGGUAA